rnacentral:tRNA from 1 species
AUCACCUAAGUCGAAGUAAAGGCGUCAGGAUGAUACCCUGAAGGGAGAGAUUUAAUCUCAGGUGGUA